CAAAUCUCAUUUAAAGCUGGCUUUAUGCACAGGAAGUCAAGAGUUAAGCAACCUAGCUGAUUAAACCAGGUGCCAUUAUUGAAAGAGUGGGAAAUAUUGCCCAUUUGCUUAUUAUGCUGAAAUGCCAUUAGUCCAGUCAGCUUUAAUGGAUAGGUUGCUACGAGGCCCAUGUUCUCAUUCUAAUGCCACCGACAUGUUAUUUAUUGUUGAAUGACAUUGCAAUGUGCUAGUUCUGAAUGUGGUUUUUCAACAAAUGGCGCUCUCUUAAUAUUUUGACUGAAAUGUUAUUCAUGUUAUUUAAUAGGCCUUUUGUUGUUGGGAGCUGCUCUGUCGUGCAAACAAAUCAGCCCAAGAGCUGCACGCAAAUAUCAAAUCAAUACCGAAGAUCAGAAUUUAUGACUGAAAUUCUGGCAGUGGAGGAGAGGGGAAAAGCACAGGUGGCAAACCAGAGCUCCGCUCGCCUCGCCGACUGCAGUGGAUCGUGCCGUCCACACUAAUCAGCCGCCGCUUCGACGGGCAGCGAUGGCCUUCCUCUCCCCAGACGCGAUGACGACAGCCGGCUCUCUGCCGGAGAAGCAGGGGUGACGUCAUGUCAGCGGCUCAGGAAUCCGCGGCUUGGACCUGCAGAGGGCCCUGCUGCCAGCUUCGCUUCCGAUUCCGAAGCCAGAUCUGCCCACCACCACCCCUUUUUUUCUUCUCCAUCUUGCUAUAGAGGUGACCCCUGGUUUCCUGCUGUUCUUCCUUCCUUGCCCGAUUCAAGGCUCAAGAGUUUUGUUAAAUCUUCCCUCACCCCAAGAUCUGCCUGUCUAGAACCCCACCAGAUUCAAGCCGCCUUGGGUUUCUUUUUAAGGAGAAAGACGGGAUCAAAAUAUAUUAAAUAAAUAAAUAAUAAAUACUCCA
rnacentral:lncRNA from 1 species